GACAUUAAUGAGUUAGGGUCCUCUGGGCCCGACCUCCCAACCCUUUGUUUAUUGAACCUUUGUUGCUUCGGCGGGCCCGUCUUCUCGCGAGGACCGCCGGAGGAUCGCUGUUACAGGCGUCCUCUGGCCCGCGCCCGCCGAUGGCCCACCUCAAAACUCUUUAUCUAAACCGUGUCGUCUGUCUGAAUGUCAUAAAGCAAAUAAAUGCAAAACUUUCAACAACGGAUCUCUUGGUUCUGGCAUCGAUGAAGAACGCAGCGAAAUGCGAUAAGUAAUGCGAAUUGCAGAAUUCCAGUGAGUCAUCGAAUCUUUGAACGCACAUUGCGCCCUUUGGUAUUCCGAAGGGCAUGCCUGUUCGAGCGUCAUUAUCACCCCUCAAGCCCCGUGCUUGGUGUUGGACGGCUUGGUCGAGCUUCGCGCUCGACCCCUCCCAAAGACAAUGACGGCGGCCUGUGGCUCCCCCGGCACACUGAGCUUCUCACCGAGCACGUGUCGGAUCGCGGGCGUCCAGGUCCCGGUCGGCUUUUUCUUGCCCCUGCGCAGGAAAAAAUUAUUUUACAAGGUUGACC
rnacentral:misc_RNA from 1 species